UCCGGUUUGGCACCGGCAGUCUCCCAUGAGUCCCCGACUUUACUCGCUGGCAACAUGGGACAGGGGUUGCGCUCGUUGCGCCACUUAAGGCAACACCUCACGGCACGAGCUGACGACAGCCAUGCACCACCUGUGCGGGCCUCCGAAGAGGGACCGGCUUUCACCGGCUUCACCCCGCAUGUCAAGCCCUGGUAAGGUUCUUCGCGUUGCAUCGAAUUAAGCCACAUGCUCCACCGCUUGUGCGGGCCCCCGUCAAUUCCUUUGAGUUUCAUUCUUGCGAACGUACUCCCCAGGUGGUGUGCUUACUGCGUUAACUGCGUCACUGAUCCCGACACGAAGUCGGGACCAACAACUAGCACACAUCGUUUACAGCGUGGACUAC
rnacentral:misc_RNA from 1 species